rnacentral:rRNA from 1 species
UAACCUGCCCAAGAGAUCGGGAUAACACCUGGAAACAGAUGCUAAUACCGGAUAACAACAGAUGAUGCCUAUCAACUGUUUAAAAGAUGGUUCUGCUAUCGCUCUUGGAUGGACCUGCGGUGCAUUAGCUAGUUGGUAGGGUAACGGCCUACCAAGGCUAUGAUGCAUAGCCUAGUUGAGAGACUGAUCGGCCACAUUGGGACUGAGACACGGCCCAAACUCCUACGGGAGGCAGCAGCC